rnacentral:lncRNA from 1 species
AUAUAUGUAUGUAUAUAUAUAUAUGUGUGUGUGUGUGUACAUUGUAUGAGUAGGCAUGUGUAUGCAUAUUCAUAUUUACCUAUGUAAUCUCAUAAUGUAGAUGCUCUUUCUAAUAAUCCAAACCUAAAUCCAUCCAAAUUUGUCAUCUGGUAUAAUUCUUGUCCAUGUCAUCUGGCAAACUCAUCAUUAACCAUUAAUUAACACAUGCUAUAUUCCAGACACAGGGCUAGCUGCUGAAGACACAAAACAAAGAUGAAAUUGUCCUUAUCCUCAAAGCAUACAUGAUCUACUAUGUACAUAAAUAAGCAGCUACAAAAUAAAUGCAAGGAAAAUUAAUUUUUUUAAUUUUUUUGCAGGAAGGAUAUGAGCAAGCUAGGGGAAAUCUUAUAAAGUCUCCUAUCGGUGGUGGCACUUGAUAAACUGAUGCUAAGUGAAAAACCCUAAUAAACAGAGAUCUACAAUGGAAGAGCAGUUAUAUCUGUUGAAUCGCCAUCAAUCAAUAGAAUUCAUCUCUAUUUUAAAAGUGAUUGACAGUCUCCAGAUGACAACAUCUGCAGCAGAAGUUGACUCCUUUCCAGAAGUGGAAUCUAUCUUUGUAAUUCUGCAUGCUUUCCCAAUGCCUCAGCUAGUGCAGACUGUGCAAAGCUCCUUAUCUAGGACUCUAAGAAAGGAUAACAGGACUGCUCAAGUAUAAAAACAGGGCAGAGAAACAACUUCAAGCCUGAAGAAUAUGAACACAAAGAAGGUCUGUGUGCAACGUACCACCUUCAGGCAGCUUGGUCUUUUCAAUUUGGAGACCACUUCCCUCCAGAUUCUUCCAGCUGCUGAACACCAAAUAAUAGAUCUCUUCUUCCUCGGAGGCCCCAGAUCAAGACACCAUCUGUUGCUCAUUUGGAGGAGAUUGUCCUGCUCAGAAACUGUGGAAAUGUGAUCGUUCCAAUUCUUCCCAUCAGCCCUCAGCCCUCCUUCGCUUCCCAUUGCACCCACUAAACUCCCAUCAACCCUGGGCAGUGCCAGCUCACCAGACAAGCCCUCCCCACUCAGUAGCAUCCCUGCUUCAUAAAUGGUGCGGAAGGAUGGCCAGGUUGCUCUUGGAUAGCCAUGGAUCACCAUUCCCACAACCAUGCUGCCCACAGAAGCCUGGAACACAAAGGCAGCCCUAUUGGAACUGCCGCCUUCAAGAAGGCUUUAUAGUUCACAGCCAAACAAUGUAGCCACGAGCAUCUUUCCCUAUGGCGACAGUGCCAUCUAGCGGUCAGGUAAGCUAACGGAGAGCACUCCUCUUGCCUUCAACCUCCAGGAAGGGUUACUUUACUACACCUGCAAAGCCCUCCUUCCCCUCCAAGAAGCAGCUGAAAUGACUAGAUGCCCAUAGUGGCCAGCCAGUAUGCAAGAUCACUAAUCACCCGUCUAAACUAU